rnacentral:lncRNA from 1 species
CUUCAUCAGUUGCAUCAGAGGCUGCUUUUAGUGCGGCAAGGUUUCAACUUGGCGAUCAUAGACAUUCAUUGGCGGAAGACAGCUUGGAAAUAUCAGUUUUAUUUAGAGACUGAGUCAACACUGAGAGGAGGAAUUAUAAUUUGCCAAAGUUAAGUUCCAAACAAGAAGCUUGGAUUAAUGCAGUAAUUGGAUCUAGUGAUGAUGAAUUAGAGUCACAAGAGUUUCUAGCAAGUUUGCCAACACCGGAGGAUGUUACAGUCGAUAUGAUGCGACAAUUAGAUUUGAAUUUUAAAGGAGAAUUCAAAUAUUAGAUUACAUCCGAGAACUAAUUGAAACAGAACCCUUCCUAGAAGGUCGCUGCGUAAAUUAGUUACUCAUCUAAUAUUUGUAACAAAUAUUAGUUUUACAUAUGAGAACUUAUUGAAACAGA